rnacentral:rRNA from 1 species
ACUCAAGAAAUGGAUCUAAGUCCAACCUGAAACUCAUUUUAGUCCACCAAAACAACCACCCGAUUUUCAGCGUAAUUCAAAUAAGGUACAGCCUAUUUGAAACAGGAUACAACCUAAAUUAAUGGAUAAGACUGGCUUAAUACGCAAUCAAGUGGGCCUAAAAGCAGCCAUCUUUAAAAUAGCGUCAAAGCUUAAUUGUUAUUUUUGCCUAAUUACUUAAUUAUUAUCUUAAUCCUCUACCAAUACUGAGUAAUUCUAUAUUAUUAUAGAAAUUUUUAUGUUAAAACUAGUAACAAGAAGAAGACUCUUCUCUCUAAUGUGAGUGUAAAUCAGAAAGGACAAACCACUGAUAAUUAACGUCAUUGAAACCAAAGCAGAAACUCAUCAAGAAAAAUCUACUUUCGUUAACGUUAACCUAACACAAGAGCAUUUUAAGAAAGAUUAAAAGAAAAAGAAGGAACUCGGCAAACAUUAACCUCGCCUGUUUACCAAAAACAUCGCCUCUUGACUUUUAUAAGAGGUCCAGCCUGCCCAGUGACCAUGUUCAACGGCCGCGGUAUCCUAACCGUGCGAAGGUAGCGUAAUCACUUGUUCUUUAAAUGUGGACUAGUAUGAAUGGCACCACGAAGGUUAUACUGUCUCCUUUUUCUAAUCAGUGAAACUAAUCUCCCCGUGAAGAAGCGGGGAUACAGCUAUAAGACGAGAAGACCCUAUGGAGCUUUAAACAACACAGCAAUUACCAACUAAGCUACAAAGUUUCUGAACAUUUUAAUAUUUUAAGUAAUCUGACUGCAAGUUUUUGGUUGGGGUGACCACGGAGCAUAACAUAACCUCCAUGUUGAAAGAAUUCUUUCUAAGCUAAGAACAACCUUUCUAGGCAUCAAUAUAUUGACAUCCAUUGACCCAAUACAUUUGACCAACGAACCAAGUUACCCUAGGGAUAACAGCGCAAUCCACUUCAAGAGCUCCUAUCGACAAGUGGGUUUACGACCUCGAUGUUGGAUCAGGGUAUCCCAGUGGUGCAGCCGCUACUAAAGGUUCGUUUGUUCAACGAUUAAAACCCUACGUGAUCUGAGU